GAAGCAGCAACGAUGGCCGUUCGGCGGCAGUGACCGACGACUACGUGGCGCGACACUUUCCCCCCAUCGCGGUCCUCUCUCUCGUCUCAGAUCUGCUCUGCGACGGCGCAGAGACGGCGGCGCGACUGGAACUGGGUGCGGCUCCACCAACCUCGCGUCUUCUCCCUCAGCGGCGUCCAUGGCUCGCGCCUCCAACGUGACAGGCAGAUCGAUUAGGAGGCCCGGCGGCGCUAGCUUUCCCCUGGCGAUGACAAGGACGCGUGGACUGCUGCAGCGGCGCGACGCGGUGAGGGCGAUGGCGGCGCGGUGAACUUUCUCUCGAUUUCCACCCUUGGAUUUGCGACGGCGUUCCUUUCUCUCCCUCUGUUAGAAACGGCGGCGACGGUGGCAGUGGCACCCACCGCGCCGCCUCCCUCUUCUCCCCUCUUCCCUAAUUCUUUGCUUGUUGUCCUCUGCCUG